rnacentral:tRNA from 1 species
GGAGAGGUCGCAUAGUGGACUAGUGCGUUCGUCUUGAAAACGAAUGUGGCGCAAGCCACCGUGGGUUCGAAUCCCACCCUCUCCG